AAGUCGUAACAAGGUUUCCGUAGGUGAACCUGCGGAAGGAUCAUUAUCCUUUAGCGUAGUAUUCUACUGAAUACUACAAGCGCAUGCACUUUUGUGUUGCGUAAAUUUGCACAACGAUGAUGCCUAGCCAUUUUCGUUUUAAAAAUCCAUACUUGCUUUAGUAUGGUCGGGUACCUAUGCUUGAUUACAAAGCAUAAGCGGUAGAUGCUUGUCUACCGUGUGGCGUAAAGAUUAUUCAAGCCUUUGAAUAACGCCCGCAUUGCAAACUUUUUAUUACUGAUUUUAAUCGCAUUUACCUAUGUUGUAUGUGUAUAGCAAUAUCUUAUUACUUAUAAGAUAAUAACACAAAUACAACCCUAUGCGGUGGAUCAUUUGGCUC
rnacentral:misc_RNA from 1 species